rnacentral:lncRNA from 1 species
AUUACUGCUGCUGCUGCUACUGCUGAGUGCUACUGCUGUCGCUGCUGCUGCGGCUAUUAAGUGCAAAAUGAAACUGCAAGGACUGUUUUGUAAAAGCAGAAUUCCUGCUUUGUGGGGGGGUUUAAGUGCUAUUGUUUAGACUUAUCCCUUAACCCCAACCCCUCAGCCCCCUCCUACGUACAGAGAACUUCGUAUCUCUCUCUCAUUCUUAUCUUUCUCUUCUUCUUUCUCUCUCUAAACCCUAGGGUAGUUUGGUUGGUUUUGUUGAAGAAUAAGUUGGUGUAGAUGCUGUUUGGAGCUGAGAGGAAGCCUUUUAAACAAGGAAAUCAGCUGGUGGUAGCUGAAAUCUGAGGUAAAGUGAUAUGAAUUCCUGGUU